rnacentral:lncRNA from 1 species
AUGGGUCUGAGGUGGAAGAAACGGUCCUGUGGAUGAGUCAGCAGCUGCCACAGCAGAAAGCAUUUGUGGCCGCUCUGUGCAAAGACGCUGGGUAUUUCUUUUGCUGUUAUCUUAUAGUUUGAGUGGUUUGGAGGAAAAGGCAGAAGCAUGUGGACAGCAGCUCCUCAUGAUUACUUCAUUCGGGGAGGCAGCAUGCUGUGCUGAAAAGUGUUCUGGCUUUGGUGGCAAAGAGAUCAGCUUUGCCAUUUACCAACUGCUUGAUGUGGGACACAUUUCAUCUCUCAAAGACCCAGUUUCCAUGCAUUUGAAAUAAGGAUACAAUAUUUACUUCAGAAAGCUGUUAUGAAGAGUAAAUGCAGAUGUGAAAUUUACAGAUAUUUCCACCUCAUCUGCUCCAGCCAGUACUGCAGUGGGAAGGUCAUGCACUGCACAGUGAUUGCCAGUAGAUGGCGCAAUGGGCCUGCCGCCAUCCCAGGCUUUGUUUCUGAACCCAGCGGGAGAGGGAGAUGACAGAAAUCUUUAUUGCAAACUGGGGGACACCAUUAGCUACAGUGGCCUCCUGGGAUCACCAUUUGCAAUAUAAGCCCAGUGACUUAAAGGAGAGAGUGGAGAGGAAUCAUGGUAAGGCUUGUAACUCCAAGGAUGAAGAACAACCAGGGCUUGGGGAUGGGUGAAGAAUCUUCUGAAGAAGUGACCUGGCUACUCUUAUAAAGUGUCAGGUGUCAUGGGUUCAGCCAUCUCACACUAUUUAAAGUGGGGGACCCGUCCUUCACUGAUGGAGUGGACAGGUGAUCAGAGAACCAUCCCACCAAGAGAAAGACCCUCUUGAGGCCCUCCAUCUCUGCAUGUCAGGUUCACAGUAAGUCUUAACGGUGCCAAACAUAAGCCCUUAUGCCACUCUUCUCUUCUCUUAUCACCUUUGCACCCUUCUCCAACCCACACACAUGCAUACACUGGGCCCCUGACUUCCCUCUUCCUAGCUUCUCUUUCUGCUAUUAACUGGCAGUUGCUGCCUAAACUCGCCAACCACCUUGAGAGUUGUGAGAGGAUAGCCCGGCAGCCUGUAGCUGUAUGCUGGGGGUGGGGAGGGCUGAAAGGAAGAGGACGUCCACCCUCCCAAUGUCAAGUUGCUGAGUGAAGUCUCCUUUGAUGACAAUGCAGUAGGGCUAAAGUGGACUAAAAUUUGCUUUCUCUCUCUCAGGCUGUGAGACAGAGCAUAGAACCUGUGUCAGGUCACAGGAGAGUGAUCCCCCAACACUUUGGGCCAUGUUCCAACCCUGCCUGCCCCAAUUCCCAUUGUGUAAAAUCCAUCUGCAACCUAUGCCAGCCUUCCAGAAUGCAGAGGGACCCUGGGAAGAGCUGGAGAAGAGAAGAGGAAGAAGGAUGGGAGACGGAAGAUUCUCAGUUGGAAAAAAAAACAGCAGCAAGAAACUUUGUUUACCUUGUUGGUCAGAUUAAAUUUCUGCCACCAAAAGAAAUCGAGAUUGAAAAGCUAAGUUUAAUUAUGGAGAAAAUAAAGUUACAUUUUUUUUUGCACAACAAAGUCAUUGACUAUGAAAUUUAUAAGCAUCAUAUGAAACAGACAAUCUUAUGAAACUUACCAAGGAUGUUUCCAGCAACCCCUUGUUUAGGGAACAGAGUAAAGGGGAGAAAAGGUAGCAUUUUCAAAUCUCAAGAAAGUGUUUUAUGUCAGAAUUCAAUUUGUCCCAGAGCACAGCUGUCAAGAGCUUUGUAAAUCUAGGCCUCUAGGAGGAGAGGGCUAAAGCACUUUCAGGAUAAAGGCUAGAAGCCUAAGGCCCUGAUCAUUUGGGCAAUCCUUGUUAUUGCAUUUGUUGUUCCAUUCUCUGACACUUCUAAAAGGCUGUGGAAUCUCCAGAUGUGUUCAUAAAAUAGUGGUAGCAAUUAUUCAUUGCUUCUAGGAAAGGGAAAUGGAUAUGUUACCAACAAAGCCAGUCCCCAUACAAAUGGAGUCUUUCCCCGUUUAGUGCUGUGAAGCCAAUAUACAAAACCAAAAGUGAGUGUCAAGUAGUGCAGGCUUUAUUCCAUGGCCACUGUAUUAGUCAGGGUUCUCUUAGAGGGACAGAACUAAUAGGAUAGAUGAUAGAUAGAUGAUAGAUAGAGAGAUAGAUAGAUAGAGAGAUAGACAGAUAUAAAGGGAAUUUAUUAAGUAUCAACUUACAUGAUCACGAGGUCCCACAAUAGGCUGUCUGCAAGCUGAGGAGCAAGAAGGGCCAGUCCAAGUCCCCAGACUGAAGAACUUGGAGUCCGAUGUUCAAAGGCAGGAAGCAUCCAGCAUGGGAGAAAGAUGUAGGCUGUGAGGCUAGGUCCAUCUCUCCUUUUCACGUUUUUCUGCCUGCUUUAUAUUCACUGGCAGCUGAUUAGAUUGUACCCACCAGAUUAAGGGUGGAUCUGCCUUCCCCAGUGCACUGACUCAAGUGUUAAUUUCUUUUGGCAACACCCACAGGCACACCCAGGAUUAAUACUUUGUAACCCUCAAUCCAAUCAAGUUGACACUCAGUAUUAACCAUCACAAGUCCACCCCUUGUCAACCUGAACCCAUACACAUCUCCUGAGAUCAUACAUAAUCUUCAAAUAAAGACAAUAAUGAGGUCAUAAU